GGGUUGUGAGGUUAAGCGACUAAGCGUACACGGUGGAUGCCCUGGCAGUCAGAGGCGAUGAAGGACGUGCUAAUCUGCGAUAAGCGUCGGUAAGGUGAUAUGAACCGUUAUAACCGGCGAUUUCCGAAUGGGGAAACCCAGUGUGUUUCGACACACUAUCAUUAACUGAAUCCAUAGGUUAAUGAGGCGAACCGGGGGAACUGAAACAUCUAAGUACCCCGAGGAAAAGAAAUCAACCGAGAUUCCCCCAGUAGCGGCGAGCGAACGGGGAGCAGCCCAGAGCCUGAAUCAGUAUGUGUGUUAGUGGAAGCGUCUGGAAAGGCGCGCGAUACAGGGUGACAGCCCCGUACACAAAAAUGCACAUGCUGUGAGCUCGAUGAGUAGGGCGGGACACGUGGUAUCCUGUCUGAAUAUGGGGGGACCAUCCUCCAAGGCUAAAUACUCCUGACUGACCGAUAGUGAACCAGUACCGUGAGGGAAAGGCGAAAAGAACCCCGGCGAGGGGAGUGAAAAAGAACCUGAAACCGUGUACGUACAAGCAGUGGGAGCACAGAGCAAUCUGUGUGACUGCGUACCUUUUGUAUAAUGGGUCAGCGACUUAUAUUCUGUAGCAAGGUUAACCGAAUAGGGGAGCCGAAGGGAAACCGAGUCUUAACUGGGCGUUAAGUUGCAGGGUAUAGACCCGAAACCCGGUGAUCUAGCCAUGGGCAGGUUGAAGGUUGGGUAACACUAACUGGAGGACCGAACCGACUAAUGUUGAAAAAUUAGCGGAUGACUUGUGGCUGGGGGUGAAAGGCCAAUCAAACCGGGAGAUAGCUGGUUCUCCCCGAAAGCUAUUUAGGUAGCGCCUCGUGAAUUCAUCUCCGGGGGUAGAGCACUGUUUCGGCAAGGGGGUCAUCCCGACUUACCAACCCGAUGCAAACUGCGAAUACCGGAGAAUGUUAUCACGGGAGACACACGGCGGGUGCUAACGUCCGUCGUGAAGAGGGAAACAACCCAGACCGCCAGCUAAGGUCCCAAAGUCAUGGUUAAGUGGGAAACGAUGUGGGAAGGCCCAGACAGCCAGGAUGUUGGCUUAGAAGCAGCCAUCAUUUAAAGAAAGCGUAAUAGCUCACUGGUCGAGUCGGCCUGCGCGGAAGAUGUAACGGGGCUAAACCAUGCACCGAAGCUGCGGCAGCGACGCUUAUGCGUUGUUGGGUAGGGGAGCGUUCUGUAAGCCUGUGAAGGUGUGCUGUGAGGUAUGCUGGAGGUAUCAGAAGUGCGAAUGCUGACAUAAGUAACGAUAAAGCGGGUGAAAAGCCCGCUCGCCGGAAGACCAAGGGUUCCUGUCCAACGUUAAUCGGGGCAGGGUGAGUCGACCCCUAAGGCGAGGCCGAAAGGCGUAGUCGAUGGGAAACAGGUUAAUAUUCCUGUACUUGGUGUUACUGCGAAGGGGGGACGGAGAAGGCUAUGUUGGCCGGGCGACGGUUGUCCCGGUUUAAGCGUGUAGGCUGGUUUUCCAGGCAAAUCCGGAAAAUCAAGGCUGAGGCGUGAUGACGAGGCACUACGGUGCUGAAGCAACAAAUGCCCUGCUUCCAGGAAAAGCCUCUAAGCAUCAGGUAACAUCAAAUCGUACCCCAAACCGACACAGGUGGUCAGGUAGAGAAUACCAAGGCGCUUGAGAGAACUCGGGUGAAGGAACUAGGCAAAAUGGUGCCGUAACUUCGGGAGAAGGCACGCUGAUAUGUAGGUGAAGCGACUUGCUCGUGGAGCUGAAAUCAGUCGAAGAUACCAGCUGGCUGCAACUGUUUAUUAAAAACACAGCACUGUGCAAACACGAAAGUGGACGUAUACGGUGUGACGCCUGCCCGGUGCCGGAAGGUUAAUUGAUGGGGUCAGCGCAAGCGAAGCUCUUGAUCGAAGCCCCGGUAAACGGCGGCCGUAACUAUAACGGUCCUAAGGUAGCGAAAUUCCUUGUCGGGUAAGUUCCGACCUGCACGAAUGGCGUAAUGAUGGCCAGGCUGUCUCCACCCGAGACUCAGUGAAAUUGAACUCGCUGUGAAGAUGCAGUGUACCCGCGGCAAGACGGAAAGACCCCGUGAACCUUUACUAUAGCUUGACACUGAACAUUGAGCCUUGAUGUGUAGGAUAGGUGGGAGGCUUUGAAGUGUGGACGCCAGUCUGCAUGGAGCCGACCUUGAAAUACCACCCUUUAAUGUUUGAUGUUCUAACGUUGACCCGUAAUCCGGGUUGCGGACAGUGUCUGGUGGGUAGUUUGACUGGGGCGGUCUCCUCCUAAAGAGUAACGGAGGAGCACGAAGGUUGGCUAAUCCUGGUCGGACAUCAGGAGGUUAGUGCAAUGGCAUAAGCCAGCUUGACUGCGAGCGUGACGGCGCGAGCAGGUGCGAAAGCAGGUCAUAGUGAUCCGGUGGUUCUGAAUGGAAGGGCCAUCGCUCAACGGAUAAAAGGUACUCCGGGGAUAACAGGCUGAUACCGCCCAAGAGUUCAUAUCGACGGCGGUGUUUGGCACCUCGAUGUCGGCUCAUCACAUCCUGGGGCUGAAGUAGGUCCCAAGGGUAUGGCUGUUCGCCAUUUAAAGUGGUACGCGAGCUGGGUUUAGAACGUCGUGAGACAGUUCGGUCCCUAUCUGCCGUGGGCGCUGGAGAACUGAGGGGGGCUGCUCCUAGUACGAGAGGACCGGAGUGGACGCAUCACUGGUGUUCGGGUUGUCAUGCCAAUGGCACUGCCCGGUAGCUAAAUGCGGAAGAGAUAAGUGCUGAAAGCAUCUAAGCACGAAACUUGCCCCGAGAUGAGUUCUCCCUGACCCUUUAAGGGUCCUGAAGGAACGUUGAAGACGACGACGUUGAUAGGCCGGGUGUGUAAGCGCAGCGAUGCGUUGAGCUAACCGGUACUAAUGAACCGUGAGGCUUAACCUUACAACGCCGAAG
rnacentral:rRNA from 1 species